CGUACACUCCUACGGGAGGCAGCAGUGGGGAAUUUUGGACAAUGGGCGAAAGCCUGAUCCAGCCAUGCCGCGUGCAGGAUGAAGGCCUUCGGGUUGUAAACUGCUUUUGUACGGAACGAAACGGCCUUUUCUAAUAAAGAGGGCUAAUGACGGUACCGUAAGAAUAAGCACCGGCUAACUACGUGCCAGCAGCCGCGGUAAUACGUAGGGUGCAAGCGUUAAUCGGAAUUACUGGGCGUAAAGCGUGCGCAGGCGGUUAUGUAAGACAGUUGUGAAAUCCCCGGGCUCAACCUGGGAACUGCAUCUGUAACUGCAUAGCUAGAGUACGGUAGAGGGGGAUGGAAUUCCGCGUGUAGCAGUGAAAUGCGUAGAUAUGCGGAGGAACACCGAUGGCGAAGGCAAUCCCCUGGACCUGUACUGACGCUCAUGCACGAAAGCGUGGGGAGCAAACAGGAUUAGAAACCCUAGUAGUCCCAUGA
rnacentral:rRNA from 1 species